rnacentral:lncRNA from 1 species
UCAUUCACAUCAUACCUUCACAUAUAGCUUCACAUAAAACUUUACAUAUAGCUUCAUAUAGGACUUUACAUAUAGCCUCAUUCAUAUAUAAUAAUAUAACAAUACAAUAACACUCAUAUAAUGCCCUUCAUGGCCUCAAUUCACAAUAAUACAAUAUUCCAACAUUAUGCAACAACUUCCCCAAUGCCUUCAUGGCUACAAUUCACAAUAAUACCACACAAGAACAAGAUAUAACACUUCCACCAAAGGUAGAUUCAACCUACCAACAACAAUUAAUUCAAUAAAGAGAGUUCAAGCUUUCUUACCAUAAUUCAAAGCCAUAGCCAAAAUCACCAAAAAUCCAAGCAAUCACCAAUACUUCACCCAUAAGGCUUACCACCCUUAAUUCACCCAUUAUCAACAAUUAAUCAUGAAUAAACAUUAAACAACACAAGAGAUAUCAAUACAAUUCACUUUACACAUAAUUCCAUCAACUUUGAAUUUAUAGAAAUAGACCCAC